rnacentral:piRNA from 1 species
GUAGAGAUGAGGUCUUACUAUGUUGCCA